rnacentral:misc_RNA from 1 species
ACGAGGUAGCGGUGCCAGCGG